rnacentral:lncRNA from 1 species
GGAAAGAAAAAUAUAAGGAACUGAACCAAAACAUCUUUAAGAUCAAACAAAUAAUAUACAUCAAUAGUCUCACAGAGAGAGGGGGUGGGAGAAAGAGGGAGGGGGAAACUGAUAAGUAUAAGUAAUAGAUGUAUUGAACUGUAAAAGGUAAAAUAUAAUCAACAGAAUGUGUUAUGAGGUAAAAAAAAUAAUAAUAUAUUGUUGUGUAUUUUCAAUUGUGAUAGUGUUACAAAUUACUUACGUACGUCUAACCAAUAAUGAUAUAAAACAAAUAAAAAGAACUGCUAUAUGUAUUUUUCGAGCAGACACCUCUCUAGGACUCUGCUGGACGUUUACCAUAGCACUGCACUGGAGGAUCUGGGUAUUCCUAGAAAUGGGUUCUCUGUAGGAAUCUCUGAGCCCUCCAGUGUGAUUCUGUGGUCAAUUUCUGAUGGAACUGGGGGACCUCGAGAUUUCUAAAUGGGACGUCUUAAUAAAAUCUGCAAAUAAUCAAGUAUGCAAAAGGCAAACCUGCAAAGGUAGAGAACUACCUGGGAGUGCUCCAGGAAACAUGCCAACCAGCCCCUACCACCAUUUUCAGGCUUGAAAAACUAUGGUUCCUAAGUGGGUUGCUGUGAGUUUUCUGAGCUGUAUAACCAUGUUCCAGAAGCAUUCUUUCCUGAUGUUUCACCCACAUCUAUGGCAGGCAUCCUCAGAGUGGGGUUUAUAUAUCUGUGGAAUGUCCAGGGUGGGAGAAAGAACUCUUGUCUGCUUGAGGCAAGUGCGAAUGUUGCAAUUAAUCAUCAUGAUCAGCUUUGAAAAGCCUUCUAGCUUCAAGGCCUGGCUGAUUCCUGCCUGGGAGAAUCCUUUGUUGGGAGGUGUUAGCUAGCCCUGAUUGUUUCAUGUCUGGAAUUCCCCUGUUUUCAGAGUGCUCUUCUUUAUUUACUGUCCUGAUUUUAGAGGAUUUUUUUAUACUGAUAACCAGAUUUUGUUCAUUUUCAUUGUUUCCUUCUUUCCAUUGAAAUUCUGAGGAUGCCUGCCACAGAUGUGGGCAGAAGAGAAUACAUCUGGAAUAGGGCCUUGCAGCCUAGAAAACUCACAGCAUCCCAGUGAUUCUGGCCACGAAAGCCUUCAACAACACAAUGAUUCCUCACUUUCUCUGAUUCAAAGAUCAAACCUUGUUCUCCUUUUGUUUCCUUUUUCAGAAGGCUGUAUAUAGAUUCUCUGCGCCGGGAAGAGGUGUCCUCCCUGCAGGUAUUUCCUAGACAUUGUUGCAGAAGGCUUUUGAGAGUCAUCAACCCAUUUAUUUCAUUCCCAUGGCAACACUGCUCCUACUAUAGGAGUAGUGGAGCCAGGUCUUGCAGGAUUGGAGCUCCAGCAUUUUUUAUUGGUUGCUAUACAGAUACACACAUAUAGCUUUUGUUUUUUCUCUAAGGUUGUCUGUAAUUUUCACUGUAGCUGGUGGGGACAAUGAAUGGGUUCUCUGAGCGACGAUAUAGAAGUAUCCCUGUUGUAAUGAAGAGUCUUGGUCUUGAACACGCAGUUAAGACCCAUUAACUUUAUAUAAGCCCUGCUCCUCAUUGAGGUCAACACUCCUGGAAUUGGUUUGACGAUUACAUGGGCAUGCCAAAUUGAAAAUCAUUGAUUGCAUUAAAUUAGUACUGAAAUUAGUAAUGGCAUUUGUGAAAGGGCUGGUAUGAUAUUGUGUGAGAAGCAGUGAUCUAGUCUCACCUCUCCCACCCCAGUUUUCUAUCUUUCCUCCUGGGCAGUGUGAUAUGAGAAGGAAGGUUAGGUAAAGGUAAAGGUUUGCCGGGCCGGGCUGUGGCGCAGCUGGCUAGUAACCAGCUGCUAUAAAUCACUACUGACCGAGAGGUCAUGAGUUCGAAGCCCGGGUUGGGUUAAGCCUCCGACCAUUAAUAGCCCCGGCUUGCUGUUGACCUAUGCAGCCCUGAAAGACAGUUGCAUCUGUCAAUUAGGGAAAUUUAGGGACGCUUUAUGCAGGAGGCUAAUUUACAACACCAUAAAACUGCCAGCAAAACACAAGGAAAGGAAUGAGGAAGUACAGCCACUACUGGACGAUGAAGCAACAGCUCCCCUUGUGGCCAGAAUCGUGAAAAUGUUAAAAAUGCCUCUGAGUCUGUCUAAUGUAUGUUGUCUGUCUGUUGGCAUUGAAUGUUUGCCAUAUAUGUGUUCAUUGUAAUCCGCCCUGAGUCCCCUUCAGGGUGAGAAGGGCGGAAUAUAAAUACUGUAAAUAAAUAAUAAAUAAAUAAGGUUUUCCCCUGACGUUAAGUCCAGUCGUGACCAACUCUGGGGGUUGGUGCUCAUCUCCAUUUCUAAGAGCCGGCGUUGUCCGUAGACACCUCCAGGGUCAUGUGGCCGGCAUGACUGCAUGAGAAGGAAGGAGCAGAAUAAUUAAAGCUUGGCAUCAGAGUGCUGGAUUCAACACUCUGAAAGUAUUAUGUUUCCCCCAAUCACCAGCGUAUAGCUCUAACACUGCUCAUGUCUAU